CCUGGGUCUUGGGUGCCGGAGGAAAACCGGUGCCAGCAGCCAGGGGUAGGAAGGCCUAUUGCGCGAACCUUCAUACAACGGGCUUCUAGUAUACGUAUAAAAAGACU